GUCAGAUCUGGCCGAUCC
rnacentral:siRNA from 1 species